rnacentral:rRNA from 1 species
GACAGAGGGUGCAAACGUUGCUCGGAAUUACUGGGCGUAAAGCGCGUGUAGGCGGACCACCAAGUCGGACGUGAAAGCCCUGAGCUCAACUCAGGAACUGCAUCCGAAACUGGCGGUCUGGAGUAGUGGAGAGGAAAGCAGAAUUCCUGGUGUAGAGGUGAAAUUCGUAGAUAUCGAGAGGAACACCGGUGGCGAAGGCGGCCUUCUGGACAGUGACUGACGCUGAGACGCGAAAGCGUGGGGAGCAAACAGG